GUGUCUGUAGUUCAGUUGGUUAGAGCGUCAGAUUGUGGUUCUGAAUGUCGUGGGUUCGAGUCCCAUCAGACACC
rnacentral:tRNA from 1 species